AGAGUUUGAUCAUGGCUCAGGACGAACGCUGGCGGCGUGCCUAAUACAUGCAAGUCGAGCGAAGUUUUUCUGGUGCUUGCACUAGAAAAACUUAGCGGCGAACGGGUGAGUAACACGUAAAGAACCUGCCUCAUAGACGGGGACAACUAUUGGAAACGAUAGCUAAUACCGGAUAACAGCAUAAAUCGCAUGAUAUAUGUUUAAAAGUUGGUUUCGGCUAACACUAUGAGAUGGCUUUGCGGUGCAUUAGCUAGUUGGUGGGGUAAAGGCCUACCAAGGCGACGAUGCAUAGCCGACCUGAGAGGGUGAUCGGCCACACUGGGACUGAGACACGGCCCAGACUCCUACGGGAGGCAGCAGUAGGGAAUCUUCCGCAAUGGGCGAAAGCCUGACGGAGCAACGCCGCGUGAGUGAAGAAGGAUUUCGGUUCGUAAAGCUCUGUUGUUAGGGAAGAAUGAUUGUAUAGUAACUAUAUACAGUAGAGACGGUACCUAACCAGAAAGCCACGGCUAACUACGUGCCAGCAGCCGCGGUAAUACGUAGGUGGCAAGCGUUGUCCGGAAUUAUUGGGCGUAAAGCGCGCGCAGGUGGUUUAAUAAGUCUGAUGUGAAAGCCCACGGCUCAACCGUGGAGGGUCAUUGGAAACUGUUAAACUUGAGUGCAGGAGAGAAAAGUGGAAUUCCUAGUGUAGCGGUGAAAUGCGUAGAGAUUAGGAGGAACACCAGUGGCGAAGGCGGCUUUUUGGCCUGUAACUGACACUGAGGCGCGAAAGCGUGGGGAGCAAACAGGAUUAGAUACCCUG
rnacentral:rRNA from 1 species